GAUUCAUAUGAUGAGAUUGGAUAUAAAAUUCUCACGACGGUCGUCUGAUUUUAGUGAUGCACCCGAUCCUUAAUACUCGGAUGAUA
rfam:Arabis alpina cultivar Pajares chromosome 2, whole genome shotgun sequence.